rnacentral:rRNA from 1 species
GGGCCCGCACAAGCGGUGGAGCAUGUGGUUUAAUUCGAUGAUACGCGAGGAACCUUACCAGGGCUUAAAUGUACGUUGCAUGAUUUAGAGAUAGAUCUUUCUUCGGACUACGUACAAGGUGCUGCAUGGUUGUCGUCAGCUCGUGCCGUGAGGUGUCAGGUUAAGUCCUAUAACGAGCGCAACCCCUGUCGUUAGUUACCAGCAAGUAAUGUUGGGUACUCUAGCGAGACUGCCGGUGCAAACCGUGAGGAAGGUGGGAUGACGUCAAAUCAUCACGGCCCUUACGUCCUGGGCUACACACGUGCUACAAUGGCCGGUACAGAGAGCAGCCACUACGCGAGUAGGAGCGAAUCUUCAAAGCCGGUCUCAGUUCGGAUCGCAGUCUGCAACUCGACUGCGUGAAGCUGGAAUCGCUAGUAAUCG